rnacentral:piRNA from 1 species
UCAUUGUUUGAAGCUGUUGGCCCUU